rnacentral:tRNA from 1 species
GCGCUCGUAGCUCAGCUGGAUAGAGCAACGGAUUUCUAAUCCGUAGGUCGCAGGUUCGAAUCCUGCCGGGCGUG